UACGGGGGGGGUAAGCGUUGUUCGGAAUUACUGGGCGUAAAGGGCUCGUAGGCGGCCAACUAAGUCAUACGUGAAAUCCCUCAGCUUAACUGGGGAACUGCGUGUGAUACUGGAUGGCUUGGAUUUGGGAGAGGGAUGCGGAAUUCCAGGUGUAGCGGUGAAAUGCGUAGAUAUCUGGAGGAACACCAAUUGCGAAGGCAGCUCGCUGGGACGGCACUGACGCUGAGACGCGAAAGCGUGGGGAGCGAACAGG
rnacentral:rRNA from 1 species